UACGUAGGGACCGAGCGUUGUUCGGAUUCAUUGGGCGUAAAGGGUGCGUAGGUGGUGAUGCAAGUCUGGUGUGAAAUCUCGGAGCUCAACCUCCGAAAUUGCACCGGAUACUGCGUGACUAGAGUUCGGUAGGGGAGUCUGGAAUUCCUGGUGUAGCGGUGAAAUGCGUAGAUAUCAGGAGGAACACCGGUGGCGAAGGCGGCUCUCGUGGACCACAACUGACGCUGAGGCGCGAAAGCUAGGGGAGCAAACAGG
rnacentral:rRNA from 1 species